GAUGAACGCUGGCGGCGUGCCUAAUACAUGCAAGUCGAACGAGACUUCUUUAUCACCGAGUGCUUGCACUCACCGAUAAAGAGUUGAGUGGCGAACGGGUGAGUAACACGUGGGCAACCUGCCCAAAAGAGGGGGAUAACACUUGGAAACAGGUGCUAAUACCGCAUAACCAUAGUUACCGCAUGGUAACUAUGUAAAAGGUGGCUAUACUACCGCUUUUGGAUGGGCCCGCGGCGCAUUAGCUAGUUGGUAGGGUAAAGGCUUACCAAGGCAAUGAUGCGUAGCCGAAUUGAGAGGUUGAUCGGCCACAUUGGGACUGAGACACGGCCCAAACUCCUACGGGAGGCAGCAGUAGGGAAUCUUCCACAAUGGGCGAAAGCCUGAUGGAGCAACGCCGCGUGGGUGAAGAAGGUCUUCGGAUCGUAAAACCCUGUUGUUAGAGAAGAAAGUGCGUGAGAGUAACUGUUCACGUUUCGACGGUAUCUAACCAGAAAGCCACGGCUAACUACGUG
rnacentral:rRNA from 1 species